GUAGGUGGCAAGCGUUGUCCGGGAAUUAUUGGGGCGUAAAGCGCGCGCAGGCGGUUCUUUAAGUCUGAUGUGAAAGCCCACGGGCUCAACCGUGGAGGGUCAUUGGAAACUGGAGAACUUGAGUACAGAAGAGGAAAGCGGAAUUCCACGUGUAGCGGUGAAAUGCGUAGAGAUGUGGAGGAACACCAGUGGCGAAGGCGGCUUUCUGGUCUGUAACUGACGCUGAGGCGCGAAAGCGUGGGGAGCAAACAGGAUUAGAUACCCUGGUAGUCCACGCCGUAAACGAUGAGUGCUAAGUGUUAGGGGGUUUCCGCCCCCUUAGUGCUGCAGCUAACGCAUUAAGCACUCCGCCUGGGGAGUACGGCCGCAAAGGCUGA
rnacentral:rRNA from 1 species